rnacentral:tRNA from 1 species
GACUGCUUGGCGCAAUGGUAGCGCGUUCGACUCCAGAUCGAAAGGUUGUGUGUUCGAUCCGCUCAGUGUUCA